rnacentral:rRNA from 1 species
GACGAACGCUGGCGGCGUGCUUAACACAUGCAAGUUGAACGGUAAGGCCCUGCUUUUGUGGGGUGCUCGAGUGGCGAACGGGUGAGUAACACGUGAGUAACCUGCCCUUUACUUUGGGAUAACUUCAGGAAACUGGGGCUAAUACCGGAUAGGAGCACCUGCUGCAUGGUGGGGGUUGGAAAGUUUCGGCGGUUGGGGAUGGACUCGCGGCUUAUCAGCUUGUUGGUGGGGUAGUGGCUUACCAAGGCUUUGACGGGUAGCCGGCCUGAGAGGGUGACCGGCCACAUUGGGACUGAGAUACGGCCCAGACUGCUACGGGAGGCAGCAGUGAGGAAUAUUGCACGAUGGGCGGAAGCCUGAUGCAGCAACGCCGCGUGCGGGAUGACGGCCUUCAGGUUGUAAACCGCUUUCGCCUGUGACGAAGCGUGAGUGACGGUAAUGUGUAAAGAAGCACCGGCUAACUACGUG